rnacentral:tRNA from 1 species
AUUUAAAUAGUUUAAUUAUAAGAAAAUUUAGAUUUGUGGAUUCUAAGAUGGUUACCUUUAAAUU